GUAGGUGAACCUGCGGAAGGAUCAUUAAAACGUUCCAAACGUAUAAACCAAUCGUGAACUUAUCACCCUUUGAGGUAAAGAAGUCAAAUUGGCAGGCUGCUAUCUUUGUGAUGGAUGCAGUCUGUUGCGGGUCAAACCGCCUUUACUUUGAAGUGGUUCUCCAUCACUACUAUAACUUACUAAACCCUUUAACUUAUUAUGAACUGACUUGUUGUUUAUUGAGCUUCGGCUCACGUAACAAUCUUUACGA
rnacentral:misc_RNA from 1 species